rnacentral:rRNA from 1 species
AGGAUGAACGCUAGCUACAGGCUUAACACAUGCAAGUCGAGGGGCAGCAUGGUCUUAGCUUGCUAAGGCCGAUGGCGACCGGCGCACGGGUGAGUAACACGUAUCCAACCUGCCGUCUACUCUUGGACAGCCUUCUGAAAGGAAGAUUAAUACAAGAUGGCAUCAUGAGUCCACAUGUUCACAUGAUUAAAGGUAUUCCGGUAGACGAUGGGGAUGCGUUCCAUUAGAUAGUAGGCGGGGUAACGGCCCACCUAGUCUUCGAUGGAUAGGGGUUCUGAGAGGAAGGUCCCCCACAUUGGAACUGAGACACGGUCCAAACUCCUACGGGAGGCAGCAGUGAGGAAUAUUGGUCAAUGGGCGCAGGCCUGAACCAGCCAAGUAGCGUGAAGGAUGACUGCCCUAUGGGUUGUAAACUUCUUUUAUAAAGGAAUAAAGUCGGGUAUGCAUACCCGUUUGCAUGUACUUUAUGAAUAAGGAUCGGCUAACUCCGUGCCAGCAGCCGCGGUAAUACGGAGGAUCCGAGCGUUAUCCGGAUUUAUUGGGUUUAAAGGGAGCGUAGAUGGAUGUUUAAGUCAGUUGUGAAAGUUUGCGGCUCAACCGUAAAAUUGCAGUUGAUACUGGAUAUCUUGAGUGCAGUUGAGGCAGGCGGAAUUCGUGGUGUAGCGGUGAAAUGCUUAGAUAUCACGAAGAACUCCGAUUGCGAAGGCAGCCUGCUAAGCUGCAACUGACAUUGAGGCUCGAAAGUGUGGGUAUCAAACAGGAUUAGAUACCCUGGUAGUCCACACGGUAAACGAUGAAUACUCGCUGUUUGCGAUAUACGGCAAGCGGCCAAGCGAAAGCGUUAAGUAUUCCACCUGGGGAGUACGCCGGCAACGGUGAAACUCAAAGGAAUUGACGGGGGCCCGCACAAGCGGAGGAACAUGUGGUUUAAUUCGAUGAUACGCGAGGAACCUUACCCGGGCUUAAAUUGCAGAUGAAUUACGGUGAAAGCCGUAAGCCGCAAGGCAUCUGUGAAGGUGCUGCAUGGUUGUCGUCAGCUCGUGCCGUGAGGUGUCGGCUUAAGUGCCAUAACGAGCGCAACCCUUGUUGUCAGUUACUAACAGGUUCCGCUGAGGACUCUGACAAGACUGCCAUCGUAAGAUGUGAGGAAGGUGGGGAUGACGUCAAAUCAGCACGGCCCUUACGUCCGGGGCUACACACGUGUUACAAUGGGGGGUACAGAGGGCCGCUACCACGCGAGUGGAUGCCAAUCCCAAAAACCUCUCUCAGUUCGGACUGGAGUCUGCAACCCGACUCCACGAAGCUGGAUUCGCUAGUAAUCGCGCAUCAGCCACGGCGCGGUGAAUACGUUCCCGGGCCUUGUACACACCGCCCGUCAAGCCAUGGGAGCCGGGGGUACCUGAAGUGCGUAACCGCGAGGAGCGCCCUAGGGUA